AGUGAACGCUGGCGGUAGGCCUAACACAUGCAAGUCGAACGGCAGCACAGUAAGAGCUUGCUCUUACGGGUGGCGAGUGGCGGACGGGUGAGGAAUACAUCGGAAUCUACUUUUUCGUGGGGGAUAACGUAGGGAAACUUACGCUAAUACCGCAUACGACCUACGGGUGAAAGCAGGGGAUCUUCGGACCUUGCGCGAUUGAAUGAGCCGAUGUCGGAUUAGCUAGUUGGCGGGGUAAAGGCCCACCAAGGCGACGAUCCGUAGCUGGUCUGAGAGGAUGAUCAGCCACACUGGAACUGAGACACGGUCCAGACUCCUACGGGAGGCAGCAGUGGGGAAUAUUGGACAAUGGGCGCAAGCCUGAUCCAGCCAUGCCGCGUGGGUGAAGAAGGCCUUCGGGUUGUAAAGCCCUUUUGUUGGGAAAGAAAAGCAGCAGGUUAAUACCCCGCUGUUCUGACGGUACCCAAAGAGUAAGCACCGGCUAACUUCGUG
rnacentral:rRNA from 1 species